rnacentral:lncRNA from 1 species
GCACCAUGCCUGCCUAUAGCAGGCCUUCCCCUGGCCAGGGCUCUUCCCUACCCCUCCUCAGGACUGCCCAGGGGAGGCAGGUCUUGAGGAAUGGAAACCCUGGCAUGGCCCAGCCACAGGGCUGUGGUCCUGCCUCCGUUCUGUCCCUUAGCCCACCACACAGAACCCGCUGCUGCAGCAGCAGCGAUUAGCUCUGGGAAGUGCUGUGCAUCUCUAAUGAGGGCAUUUGCAUAUAUAACGAAGAACCUUCACAGGUGUUGGCUGAGCCACCACUCCUCUUUUCCCUUUCUUCUUUCCUGCCAGCUGCCAUCUUUGACCUGUGGCUCUUGGGGUGUGGGAGUCCCUGCCCAUUCAGCUGGGAGAUGUGCUGUGCUGAAGGACCCCAGGCACAGUGAGUUUCCUGAGCUUCAAAGAACAGGGCUUCUUGAAGGAGGCCUCAAAGGCUGAGAAGAGCUUCUGUGGGACUCCAGGAAGCUGUGAAGGUUCUUGAUCAGGGCAGCAAUGAUACAAUAGUGUAAAAAAUUUCCUCCCUGCCCCUCACUCAAUGGCCUGCCCACCUAGGAAACCCUGCAACAGGCGGCCAGACUGGCCCAGUCUGCAAAAUCUUUCAGUGACAACCCCCUCACACAGACACACACACACACACACGCAUGCAGUGUCCCUUCUAACCUGGCUAUCCCAGCCUCUUCUCUGAAGCUUCACUGCUAGAACUUGAUGUUGGAUCUGGCUUCCUCCUCAGAAGACAAUUUAUGGCAACAUGUCGAAGACUCUGUUUUAAUGAAGUUGCAAAAGUAGGUUAAUGGGCUGUGGGUAUUUUUCAUUCCCCUCCUCCUGCCCCAUCUCCACCCCUGGGUGGAUGAAUGAUGCCUCUCCCAGCAAGAUGCAAAGUCAGGCUGAGGAUCUCGGGCCUGGACUCAAGCUGGCAUCCCUUCCUUGGCCCCCUGCUCAGCUCCUCAGCACCACUCCUCUCUGCCACUGGGAAGGUGCUCAGAAUGUCUAGCCCCAAUCCCCCCUGCUGUAGCUGUGGUCCAGAAGGUGCUCCAGGUUCUGCCCAGAGGGGAGGAGCAUGGCAUAUUUGAGUGGUGGGUCUGGGGCAAGGACUGAGGCAGGGGUGGGACUCUGAGGAAUAAGUAAAAUGCUGGAGAAUGGAUUUCUUUUAGACUGGAGAGGCAGGGAGGUAGAAGCUCAGCUAGCAUGAGAACUCAGCUACCCAGAGAACUCUGAAGCUGGUGCUAGUCUUCUGGAGGAGGACUGAGUUUCUGGGAGCCUCUCCAGUUGCUGUCCCUGCCUGUGUAAUUCAUCUCUGUGUUUCCUGGUACCAUGCCGAUGUAGAGCUGCUCUUGCGACUGUUUGCUAAGUAAAUGAUGGAUACAAGAGUGAAUGACUCUUCUUUCCCUACGCCAAGUCUCUGGGGCUAAACUACCCUCAUCCUUGCUCACCUCUACACCUUCCCUCAGCUGUUACUACUUGGAACCCUCUCCCUUCUCAGACUGUGCCCAAUCCUGGCUCUACACUUCUGUCUCUUGGAGAGUUUUUCAUGAUUAAACUGCAAGAAGAGUUCUCUAUUCACUCGGGUCCAAGAUUAGGGUCUGUCAUCCCUGUAAGUUCAGGGUCCCUAGGGUCUAUGUCAUUUUCCUCCAGAUUCUGCCCUGCCUCAGCAACACCCAGGGCAGGGCUCCAAGACCGAGGUGGGUGGCUCCAAGACUGAGCUUGGACCUCCAACACUUGGAGCAGUGGCUCCAAGACUGAGGCUCAGUUAUUGCUGGGGACAUACACCCAGGAGGACCAUACUGCUGCCCAGGACCAAGCCUGGUCCUUCCUCCCUGCAGAAAGCUGGGAGCAUGCACAGCAUCUGGCCUGCCGUCCCUCCCGGGGAGCAAGUAGCCUUCUUCAUUCCCAGCCCCUCACUGCCAACAAAGGAGGCUGUUGGCCAGGCUUCGGGACUUGAAUACCAAGAUGGGGUAGAGCAGAGCCUUGCUGCCCUACAACUUCAAAUUACCCCCUCCUCUAGGAAGCUGGUUCACCUCUGUCCUUCCCCCUCCAAACUCCCUAGCUUUCUUUUACAGCCUUAGCUCCCUCCCUUCCUCUGGGCCAGGUAGUAGCACAGGCCUGUGACCUUUUGGAGUCACCCUGUAAAAACCCCUGAGCAAACCUAGUGUGAAGCCCAGAAAACCCCACCGUAAUCUCCAGAGCAACUCCACAGUUGUACUCCAAACUCUACAACAGCAUCCACAAUCUACAGUAACACCCCAAAUCCCUAUAGUAACAUCCAGAACUACCCAGCCCAGGCAGUGCCAUAGAGCCACCCCAAACAUGGCACAGGAAGCUCAACACGGGCCCUUCAGGAACAGCUAAGCCUAAGCUGAUCUUCUAGCUGACCCGAACAGGGGGGUCUUCCUGUCCAAAGCCCCCAUUGGACCUUGCUCCCCACUAAGCUUUGCUGUGGUAGAGGGACGGGUGGGUGCCCAGGGCAUGGGCGUGAAGGUUUCCCCUCACCUGAGGUGCUGAGGGAAGAGGUCUUGGAGGACAAGCCAGAUUGCCCCUGGAGGGCCAGGGGAACCCAGAGGCCAUGGUAGUUUAAUACCUGAAAUGGGAAUCCAUGGGGCUUCUGUGGAAAUUUCUGUGGAUGAAGAGGAGACAGGACUCCCGGGUUCCCAUGGUCACACGCACAUGCUUUACAGAUCUGUUUUGGGUCUGAGUCUCAGGGGCAUGGGAGGUGGUGUGGAGACAAUGGGUAUGGUGGGGGUUAGUAAUUGUCAGUUCAGAGGGAGGAGACACAGGCCCAUUCCCCUAGUCCAUGAGAGAGAAGAGAGUCACACUGGGACCUGAUUUAGGAAUUGCUGGAGGGGCUUGUUGAGUGCAGGGAGAAACCAAGAAAAGGGGAGCCAAGGGUUUCAAAUCAAGAGGGCUUCAGGGAGGAGAAGAAUGGGCAGGAGGUUGGAAAAGAAGGGGCCGGGUGUCGUGGCUCAUGCCUGUAAUCCCAGCACUUUGGGAGGCUGAGGUGGGUGGAUACCCUGAGGUCGGGAGCUCGAGACCAGCCUGACCAACAUGGAGAAACCCUAAAAUACUUGGAAGGGAGGCUCCUACCCUCUCUGCCCCUGCCCCUGGCAACCCUACCCCCAAUUUCAGCAGGGCUUGGUCCCCAGAGCCUGGGGAUGGGUUGGGAAGGUGGGUUACAUCUACUAAAAAUACAAAAUUGGCGGGGCGUGGUGGUGCACACCUGUAAUCCCCGCUACUUGGGAGACUGAGGCAGGAGAAUCACUUGAACCCUGGAGGCAGAGGUUGCAGUUAGCCGAGAUCGUGCCAUUGCACUCCAGCCUGGGCAACAAGAGUGCCACUCCAUCUCAACAAUAAUAAUACUAUUAAUAAUAAUUUUAAAAAAAGAAGAGAGGAACAGAGCUGGGAAGGUCCCUGGCGGGGAGGGGUCUCUGUAGCUUUCGAAGGGUUGAGAGCUGGUUCCAGGCCAGGCUGAGUUCAACCUGUGGAGUCACCAGACAUUGACAUCUCUGGGUGUAAAACUCUGAGAAGGGAAGAGGAUGAAUGUGGAGUCAGGAGGCCUAGGGACCGCAGGCUCCACCCUUGCCCCUUGACCUUGGGUAAUUCCCGCACACUUCUAGUGUCAUCUUUCUCCAGUCUGUAGAGAGGGAAUAACAACAUCCAGCAUUCUUGAUUUUUUAGAAAGCUUCGCUAGCAGAUGAGAAGGCUGUUUGGCCCACAAUUUAGUAGAUGUAAACGGUGCCAGCCCCUCUGUGGUGCAUGAGAUGUCAAGUUCUAAGUUCCCAGCUCUGCUACCAGAUAGUCCUUUUUUCAGGCCUCAGUUUCCCCGUCUGUAAAACAAGGGGAGUUGCACUUGUUCAUUUCUUGGGGCCCCUCCCCCAUCUGGUAUCUGUUUAAUAAUUUUCAAGGUUCUUACAAAGGAGAUAAUAAAUGCCAACAAGCUUUGUUCA